GUCCCCGGCCCCGCCCCCGGCACGGACGAUGUGUUCUGUCUCUUCCGGUUUGUCGGUGAUCCAUCAGUGCGGCCUCAUUGAUGUUCCCCAUAUUAUUCCACUCGGUUGGGUCACGCCACAAGAGUUUUUGUGCUGUCCCAAACCGCAAUGUGACUUUGAAAAUACAUCGUCCUAACUAGGUGCCCAAAACUGGAAUUUAAGCCAGGCUCCAAUCUUGCCCACGUGUUCCACUUCUCACCACUGGGUGACGCUGCUGCACCAGCCAGGCGCCUCCAUUUUGACGAACCCGUCUGAACCUGCUCCCACCCGCUGGAGGACCAGUUGCAAAGCAGCCAGCAAAAGUUAUCCGUUUUUCUUUGCGUCAAGUGGAGCAUACGGAAAAUGGAUGCGCCACCCCCGCUUCUUGUGCUGCUGGUCGAUUUCCUCCCGACUUUGCGGAGUCACGCCAGCGAGGGGACUUGGCCUUCACUCGUCACCUGUGGUGGCCUCCUGCAAGUACCUUUUUCUUUUUUUUUCUCUUUCUCUCUCUCUAUUCAGGAGGCGGGGCAACCCUCGCUCCGUUUCUUUUUUUUUCCUCUUCUGACCUUCAGGGUGCACCCUUCCUCCUCAUCAAUCCAACCUCUUCUUCCUCUCGCAAGUGAGAGAGGAAAGGUGGAAGUAAGCAGAGCCAAAAUGGUCUGCUGCUCAUUU